UAUAGAUUAAGUUAUUAAGGGCGCACGGUGGAUGCCUUGGCACUAGAAGCCGAAGAAGGACGUUACUAACGACGAUAUGCUUUGGGGAGCUGUAAGUACGCUUUGAUCCAGAGAUUUCCGAAUGGGGAAACCCAGCAUGAGUUAUGUCAUGUUAUCCGCAUAUGAAUACAUAGUAUGUGAGAAGGCACACCCGGAGAACUGAAACAUCUUAGUACCCGGAGGAAGAGAAAGAAAACUCGAUUCCCUGAGUAGCGGCGAGCGAAACGGGAAGAGCCCAAACCAAUAGGCUUGCCUAUUGGGGUUGUAGGACACUCAAUACGGAGUUACAAAGGAAAUGAUUAGACGAAUGGUUUUGGAAAAGCCAACCAUAGAAGGUAAAGGUCCUGUAGUCGAAAGUCAUUUCUCUCCUGAGUGGAUCCUGAGUACGGCGGAACACGUGAAAUUCCGUCGGAAUCUGGGAGGACCAUCUCCCAAGGCUAAAUACUCUCUAGUGACCGAUAGUGAACCAGUACCGUGAGGGAAAGGUGAAAAGCACCCCGGAAGGGGAGUGAAAUAGAACCUGAAACCGUGUGCUUACAAAUAGUCAGAGCCCGUUAAUGGGUGAUGGCGUGCCUUUUGUAGAAUGAACCGGCGAGUUACGAUUUGAUGCAAGGUUAAGCAGUAAAUGUGGAGCCGUAGCGAAAGCGAGUCUGAAUAGGGCGUAUAGUAUUUGGUCGUAGACCCGAAACCAGGUGAUCUACCCAUGGUCAGGUUGAAGUUCAGGUAACACUGAAUGGAGGACCGAACCGA
rnacentral:rRNA from 1 species